rnacentral:tRNA from 1 species
ACUCCCUUAGUAUAAAAAGUAUAUUUAACUUCCAAUUAAAAGGUUUAUUUAUUAAAGGGAGUA